CCGGAGGCUCAGCAUCCUGGGGGCAGGUCCUCUGCGGGUGGAAAAGUGGGAGUGACUUAGGAGGGAAAUCACCAGAAAUCCGGCAGAGGUCCCAGCGUGGGAAAACGCCCUCUGCGCUAGGAGAGAGCAGCCACGAUGCCUACCUCCGCGCCCCACGGGACCCCUUUCCUUCUCCUAGCACCUCUACUGAUGCUGUCCGCUGUGCUGGCGGUGCCCCUGGACCGCGCGGCGCCCCAUCAGGAGGACAGCCAGGCCACUGAGAGCCCGGUGCAUGUGAGUGCAGUACCUGAAGAAGCCAGAAGAGAGAAUCAGAUCCCCAAGAGCUGGAGUCACAG